rnacentral:rRNA from 1 species
GGCGUAGGGGACGAGCGUUGUCCGGAUUCAUUGGGCGUAAAGCGCGCGUAGGCGGCCACGCAAGUCGGGUGUGAAAUCCCGGAGCUCAACUCCGGAACUGCACUCGAAACUGCGCGGCUUGAGGUAGGUAGGGGAGAUCGGAAUUCCUGGUGUAGCGGUGGAAUGCGCAGAUAUCAGGAGGAACACCGGUGGCGAAGGCGGAUCUCUGGGCCUUACCUGACGCUGAGACGCGAAAGCUAGGGGAGCGAACAGG